GGGUUGUGAGGUUAAGCGACUAAGCGUACACGGUGGAUGCCUAGGCAGUCAGAGGCGAUGAAGGGCGUGCUAAUCUGCGAAAAGCGUCGGCAAGGUGAUAUGAACCGUUAUACCCGACGAUACCCGAAUGGGGAAACCCAGUGUGUUUCGACACACUAUCAUGGCAUGAAUACAUAGUGUCAUGAGGCGAACCGGGGGAACUGAAACAUCUCAGUACCCCGAGGAAAAGAAAUCAACCGAGAUUCCCCCAGUAGCGGCGAGCGAACGGGGAGGAGCCCAGAACCUGAAUCGGCUUGUGUGUUAGUGGAAGCGUCUGGAAAGUCGCACGAUACAGGGUGACAGUCCCGUACACAAAAAUGCACAAGUUGUGAGUUCGAUGAGUAGGGCGGGACACGUGGUAUCCUGUCUGAAUAUGGGGGGACCAUCCUCCAAGGCUAAAUACUCCUGACUGACCGAUAGUGAACCAGUACCGUGAGGGAAAGGCGAAAAGAACCCCGGCGAGGGGAGUGAAACAGAACCUGAAACCGUGUACGUACAAGCAGUGGGAGCCCUGAUUUAUCAGGGUGACUGCGUACCUUUUGUAUAAUGGGUCAGCGACUUAUAUUCUGUAGCAAGGUUAACCGUAUAGGGGAGCCGCAGGGAAACCGAGUCUUAACUGGGCGUUAAGUUGCAGGGUAUAGACCCGAAACCCGGUGAUCUCAGCCAUGGGCAGGUUGAAGGUUGGGUAACACUAACUGGAGGACCGAACCGACUAAUGUUGAAAAAUUAGCGGAUGACUUGUGGCUGGGGGUGAAAGGCCAAUCAAACCGGGAGAUAGCUGGUUCUCCCCGAAAGCUAUUUAGGUAGCGCCUCGUGAAGUCAUCUUCGGGGGGUAGAGCACUGUUUCGGCUAGGGGGGCCAUCCCGGCUUACCAACCCGAUGCAAACUGCGAAUACCGAAGAAUGUUAUCACGGGAGACACACGGCGGGUGCUAACGUCCGUCGUGAAGAGGGAAACAACCCAGACCGCCAGCUAAGGUCCCAAAGUCAUGGUUAAGUGGGAAACGAUGUGGGAAGGCCCAGACAGCCAGGAUGUUGGCUUAGAAGCAGCCAUCAUUUAAAGAAAGCGUAAUAGCUCACUGGUCGAGUCGGCCUGCGCGGAAGAUGUAACGGGGCUAAAACCAUGCACCGAAGCUGCGGCAGCGACGUUUAGGCGUUGUUGGGUAGGGGAGCGUUCUGUAAGCCGUUGAAGGUGGCCUGUGAGGGCUGCUGGAGGUAUCAGAAGUGCGAAUGCUGACAUAAGUAACGAUAAUGCGGGUGAAAAACCCGCACGCCGGAAGACCAAGGGUUCCUGUCCAACGUUAAUCGGGGCAGGGUGAGUCGACCCCUAAGGCGAGGCUGAAAAGCGUAGUCGAUGGGAAACAGGUUAAUAUUCCUGUACUCGGUGUUACUGCGAAGGGGGGACGGAGACGGCUAUGUCAUCCGGGCGACGGUUGUCCCGGUUUAAGCGUGCAGGUGGGUGGACCAGGCAAAUCCGGUCUGCUGUCAACACUGAGGCGUGAUGACGAGGCACUACGGUGCUGAAGUGACAGAUGCCCUGCUUCCAGGAAAAGCCUCUAAGCAUCAGGUAACAGUGAAUCGUACCCCAAACCGACACAGGUGGUCAGGUAGAGAAUACUCAGGCGCUUGAGAGAACUCGGGUGAAGGAACUAGGCAAAAUGGUGCCGUAACUUCGGGAGAAGGCACGCUGGGCAUGGUGAAGUCCCUUGCGGACGGAGCUGGGCCCAGUCGCAGAUACCAGCUGGCUGCAACUGUUUAAUAAAAACACAGCACUGUGCAAACACGAAAGUGGACGUAUACGGUGUGACGCCUGCCCGGUGCCGGAAGGUUAAUUGAUGGGGUUAUCCGCAAGGAGAAGCUCUUGAUCGAAGCCCCGGUAAACGGCGGCCGUAACUAUAACGGUCCCUAAGGUAGCGAAAUUCCUUGUCGGGUAAGUUCCGACCUGCACGAAUGGCGUAAUGAUGGCCAGGCUGUCUCCACCCGAGACUCAGUGAAAUUGAACUCGCUGUGAAGAUGCAGUGUACCCGCGGCAAGACGGAAAGACCCCGUGAACCUUUACUAUAGCUUGACACUGAACCUUGAACCUUGAUGUGUAGGAUAGGUGGGAGGCUGAGAAAUGUGGACGCCAGUCUGCAUGGAGCCGACCUUGAAAUACCACCCUUUAAUGUUUGAUGUUCUAACGUGGGCCCGUAAACCGGGUUGCGGACAGUGUCUGGUGGGUAGUUUGACUGGGGCGGUCUCCUCCCAAAGCGUAACGGAGGAGCACGAAGGUUAGCUAAUCCUGGUCGGACAUCAGGAGGUUAGUGCAAAGGCAUAAGCUAGCUUGACUGCGAGAGUGACGGCUCGAGCAGGUGCGAAAGCAGGUCUUAGUGAUCCGGUGGUUCUGAAUGGAAGGGCCAUCGCUCAACGGAUAAAAGGUACUCCGGGGAUAACAGGCUGAUACCGCCCAAGAGUUCAUAUCGACGGCGGUGUUUGGCACCUCGAUGUCGGCUCAUCACAUCCUGGGGCUGAAGUAGGUCCCAAGGGUAUGGCUGUUCGCCAUUUAAAGUGGUACGCGAGCUGGGUUUAGAACGUCGUGAGACAGUUCGGUCCCCUAUCUCGCCGUGGGCGUUGGAAGAUUGAGGGGGGUUGCUCCUAGUACGAGAGGACCGGAGUGAACGCACCGCUGGUGUUCGGGUUGUCAUGCCAAUGGCACUGCCCGGUAGCUACGUGCGGAAGAGAUAACCGCUGAAAGCAUCUAAGCGGGAAACUUGCCCCGAGAUGAGUCUUCCCUGGGCCCUUGAGGCCCCUGAAGGGACGUUCGAGACGAGGACGUUGAUAGGCUGGGUGUGUAAGCGUAGCGAUACGUUGAGCUAACCAGUACUAAUGACCCGAGAGGCUUAACCUUACAACACCGAAGGUGUUU
rnacentral:rRNA from 1 species